UACGUAGGGGGCUAGCGUUGUCCGGAUUUAUUGGGCGUAAAGAGCGUGUAGGCGGCUUUACAGGUCCGUUGUGAAAACUCGAGGCUCAACCUCGAGACGCCGGUGGAAACCGUAAAGCUAGAGUCCGGAAGAGGAGAGUGGAAUUCCUGGUGUAGCGGUGAAAUGCGCAGAUAUCAGGAGGAACACCCGUGGCGAAGGCGGUUCUCUGGGCCUUACCUGACGCUGAGGAGCGAAAGCGUGGGGAGCAAACAGG
rnacentral:rRNA from 1 species